rnacentral:rRNA from 1 species
AACGAACGCUGGCGGCGCGCCUAACACAUGCAAGUCGAACGAGAAGGCGUAGCAAUACGCUUGUAGAGUGGCGAACGGGUGAGUAAUACGUGGGUGACCUACCCUCGAGUGGGGAAUAACCCGCCGAAAGGCGGGCUAAUGCCGCGUACGCUUCCGUCCUCACGGGAACGGAAGGAAAGCUGUACCGUGGGUACGGCGCUCAAGGAUGGGCUCACGUCCUAUCAGCUUGUUGGUAGGGUAACGGCCACCAAGGCUACGACGGGUAGCUGGUCUGAGAGGACGAUCAGCCACACUGGCACUGCGACACGGGCCAGACUCCUACGGGAGGCAGCAGUGAGGAAUAUUGCGCAGUGGGCGAAAGCCUGGCGCAGCGACGCCGCGUGGGGAUGAAGGUCUUCGGAUUGUAAAUCCCUUUCGGGAGGGAAGAUGGGACGGGCAACCGUUCGGACGGUACCUCCAGAAGCAGCCACGGCUAACUUCGUGCCAGCCGCCGCGGU